rnacentral:rRNA from 1 species
GAAGGAUGGACAAGGGAUGAGCUGUCUCCUUUACGUAAUUUGAAUUUAACUUUUGAGUGAAAAGGCUCAAAUUAUUUAGUGGGACGAUAAGACCCUAUAAAACUUUAUAUAAGUUUAAUUUGGCUUACAAUUUGAGUGAAAAGUAGCUUUAUUAGGCUUAUAUUUCGUUGGGGAGAUGUAGAUAUAAUGUGUAACUGUCUGUUUAAUUUAAUAAUUAUAAUUAGCGUGUGAUCCUUCUUUGUGGAUUAAAAGUAUAAGUUACUUUAGGGAUAACAGCGUGAUUUUCUUUGAGAGUUCUUAUCGACAAGAGUAGUUGCGACCUCGAUGUUGAAUUAAAAUUUCAGUUAGGUGUAGCCGUCUAGCUGGUAGGUCUGUUCGACCUUUAAAAUUUUACAUGAUUUGAGUUCAAACCGGUGUGAGCCAGGUUGGUUCUAUCUAA